ACGUGCUUUUUUUUCCGGAUUCCGGAACGCCGUCAAAUAAAAGUCUCCAUUUACACAUUAUUGUCUAUGUUACAAGAUGGCCGACGAAGCGAUCGAGAAAUUUCCUCGACUUAGAAGACAAAGUUACCAUACGUAUUAAAUCUUUACGGUUCUCGAAAUUGAAGCAUCUUCAUGAGAAUCAAAAUAGAAGUGAGACUGAAGCCGAACAUGAACAUAAUUUUGGUGAAACUACUCCUUGUCCAGUGUCCGCUGCAGCACCACGUGGGUACACCAGCAUCGAUCUAUGCCUGAUGUUGUUUUCUGUAUAGACAUUUUAAAGACCAUGACUCUACAGAUGUUAAUUGGUAUGACGGAAGAAGUAAAAUUUUUGCAGAACAGAUUUUUUGUAUGCUGUGUCCAUCAUAUUAAUAUUUCAGGAAAGUUCAAGCCAGAUCUGCUACAGCAAACUGAACAUAAAGUGGCAUACUUGUGUGUCAGGAAACGAGGAACAUGUAUGGCUGGACUGAGAAUCUAACCGGGGAUCCCUGCAUCACUACUUACAUAUCCCAUGGAAAUAUAGGAUCCUUGGCUAAUCAAGUGUCAUCUGCAGUGUUACAAAAGAAUAUUGGAUUUAUAUCAAUAAGAAAAAGAACUACCAGAAGGAGACGGUAAAGAGGAACGGACAUAUCACACCAUAAGACGUGCUUCAAAAUCUGAAUAUACAGAGUGAAUUUCGCUUACUGCAGAUCCUUGUGAAAGAACACCUUUGUUGUAUUGACAUAAAAACAACUGAAUUGUCAGGAUCCUUGAACAUGACGCAACUGGCUGCAUACGAUGGCAAUUAAAAAUGAUUACAUGUUUACAUUGAUCUUUGUUAGCCAAUAAGACAAAAAGCAAAAUAGCAAGUUUAUCCUAUUACAGUACAUGUACUGAAUGUAUUCACUUUAUUUUUUUGAACUACAUCAUGAGUUUAAAAAUUGUACAGUAUCACAUACAGUUUAUGGUGGGAUUCCUCUAACUUUCAUGAAUCUGUUUGCAAAAUCUAUACUUUAAAGUUACAAAUUAUUACCUCUAAUAAAAUGUUUGUUUUUUUUUUUUUUUGUUUUUUUUUUUGUAAAUUAUUACACUAUUUUUGUAUAUAUGUAAUGAUAACCAAAUCACCCAAUUUUCCCACACUUUUUACCAUGUAUUUAGCAUUUUUUUUUUUACCAUGCUUUAGUGUAUUAAUAUCUGACAACUGAUGACCAGGCAGUCUUCAUUUAACAGUGUAAUACAUAACACAUUUUUAUCUGAAUAUUUUUAAAACAAGGAUAACAUGCCGUGGAUUGAUUCUGUGUUCAAAACUUCAUUAUCACUUGGUUUUCUUAUUUAUGUUGUACAUGUAUUUGGAAUAAAAAAGGAAUUGUUGAAAGAAAAGUCAAAUUAAUCAUUCUAUUGUUGUCAAAGGAAGAUAAUAAAACCAGUUUACUUAAGCACAGAAUUGGUCAAAACAUAUUGUCAUUGAUAAUUCAUCCAAGAAUCAUAUGUAUAAUAAAUCUACAAAGUCAAUUUGAACGAUAUCAAGGAAAGUUCUUAUCUUUUUUAAUAUAAGUGCAAAAAGGUCAAGCAGGGCAACAUGUGUCCAGGUGUACCUGUAUAAAUUGUUUUCUGUGAUAUAGAAUGUAAUUUAGAAGAAUAUUACUUGGAAUUUUACUCAUUUUCUUUGAAAUAUUUUGAUUAAUUCUAUCUAUCAAAGUCAAUUUGAACGAUAUAAGGAAAACUUCUUAUCUUUUUUAAUAUAAGUGCAAAAAGGUCAACCAGGGCAACAUGUGUCUAGGUGUACAUGUAUAAAUUGUUUUUGUGAUGCAAAAUGUAAUUUAGAAGAAUAUUACAAAGAAUUUACUCAUUUUCUGUGAAAUAUUUUGAUAAAUUCUUGAUAAUCUCUCUUAGUCACCAUAUUCUUCAAAAUUGCAACCUUCUAAAGGAAGGGGGUAGGGUAGGGUGUAAGAUAAUAAACUUGUUCCAGGUUGAAUUUAAAUCCCAUUAUGUAGUAUGAUUUUUUUCUAAAAUUUAAGACACUUAUAGGCUAACUAUAAUAUGCAAUAAAAAAAGAAAUUUGAUGGGUAAUUUUUUCACAGUGGAAGCAGAAGUGUGAGACUUUGUGCAAGGAAUAGGCAAUAUUUUAACCUAAUUUGACCAUGCAUCUUGGUAAUUGUAACUCUGUUUUUCGCUAACAAUGCUUGAUAAAUUUAAGAUUGAUGUCAAAUAUUAAUCAAUACAGACAGAUGUUUGAAUUCAUAUAAGACAAAUGAUAAUUGAUAUACCAAUAAAAAAUUUACAGCCCUUU